GAGCUGUUUCCACUUGCCAGUUACUGCAUGAUCAAAUUAGCCCCAGUCAGAAGCAAUUGGGUACAUGUGAAUGGCUUGGUGGAAUGGAUGUUCUUUGAAUGUACAGUGUGCUGUCUAUCACAAGUGAUACCAGGAACCAUCAGUCACAGCACUCGUUUUGUUAUUUGAUAGAAGUGAUGGGCCUGCACUUUUCUAGCCACAAACUCUUUCCUGUUUUCUUCUUUGCACAAUUGCACACAGGAUGUCUGGAUGCCAUGGUUAAGGGAGGAAUGUGGAGCAGCUUAGAUGGAUCAUGCAAGCAUUUGGCAGGAUGAUUCGGAAGCCAAGGAUGGUUUGAUCCUUGAGUUGAGUCCUGUUCAUCUCCCCAGCCUUGGGGACUCGGUGCUCUCCACGUGCUGUUGCUAAGGGGAAAUGGGGAAAGAGAAUUUGGAAAUUGAGCACAAAACCAUUGCUACUACUGAAAACUUUGGAAUGUUUUAGUGAGAGGCCAGUGAUGGUCACUGCAUGUGGAGGGCACAAGGAGUGUUGUUUUGUGGAAGCUCAGAUGCGUAAUUGCUUGCAAUGCGUGACUCUCUUUGAGAGAAACACUUUGAGUGUUUGUGGAAGCUUUCCCUUGCCUUGUGCUUUUCAGUGUCAGCCAAACUCAUUUCCUGUGUGUCAUCUGUCAGUCAUACCCAGGAUGAGGGACAGCUGAUGAACUCACUCAAAUUUAAGGUGACAGGUGGUUGAUGCUGACAAGUCAAAUGUGAAUGUUUCAAGGAUUGAAUUCUUGUCCCUAUGGGACAUUGAUUAAUGACACUUAACAGGACUCUUGGAAGGCAGUCUUAAAAGUGUUUCUGAAUCUGUUGAUAAGUGUGCUCACACCCUGUUACUGGACACAGUGUGACUCCUUACACACUUAUACACAUUUACCGUAGAAGAGGAGCCUCCAACUUCUUAUUAGGUGUAUUUUUUUUAAGAAAGAUAACCCAAAAGCUGCCAGUUUUUCUAUUCACUUUGAAUUAUUAAGAUCAUAUUUAUUUAAUUUUAUUACUUUGAAAGUUGCACCUUGUGACCAAAGGGCAAAGACAAGGCAUUAGGGAGUUGUGUUUCCAAGUGUCUUUGUGUCCAUCUUUAUAAGUGUGGAACAGAUGUUAGGGGAAAAACCUGUUAGAAAAAAGAGGGUUCUCAUAAGUAUUCCUUGGGAUUUUUUUCCCUUUUGUUUUGUUUUUAUUAUUAACUGAUUUAAAGUAGAACAAAAACAGCUUCUGGCGAGGACCAGGCUGACCAGGGUGCUGUAGCCAGCCUGCUUGCUGUACUUGGUCAUUUUGGGGUGGGGGAGGGGAUAGGACCACAACUGGGAAAAACAAUGACUUCUCUAUUACAAAGAUAAGAAACGGUCCCACAAAUAAAAAAAUAAUAAUAAAUGGCUAUUUUUGAAAUUCAAAUAUUUAAAUUUUGUAAAUCAACUGUUUAGGACGUCGUGUGUUUGUAACUUUUUUUUGUAGUGACCCAUUAUACCCCUUCUCGAAGGUCAGUGACCCUGGUAUGACAUGUGGUGAAACAUGAAAGAAGUAAGCGUCUGAAGGGGUCCAGGAAAGUUUGGGGAAAAAGAGGACCGGGAAACCCGUGCUCUAUGGUGUACAAUGAAUACCUUUUAUUCCAUCCUCUCCCACCCCUACCAGAUUCCUCAACCAAAACCAGUCCAGUACUUCAGAGACAGGAACAAGUUCUCCCGCUGUUUGGCUAUGCAACUGUUCGUUUUGCUUACUCUGCCCUCCGUCAACCCUUUCCGCAAAUGUAGUUGCAGACAAAUGCUUUCUUUCUGUUGUUCGCUCUGUGUGGGGUGUGUAAAUAACCUAAAAUGUACAUUGAAUUUCACAGUGUAAAGUUUUAUUUUAUUCCUUGUAUUAUAGUAUGCGAAAACAUCCCGAUGUACAUGAAGUGCAGAAUAAAUCUAUUUGCUUUACAGAAGAUGCCUUGGUUUAAUUUCGUCCUUUAAAUAGUAGCAUGUGCUUGAUAUACUUACAGUAAGAUUUUUUUUAAGUUUAUAAUUUUAAAAACCAUUGAAGGAGAGGGAGAUUAAAACAACAACAACAACAAAAACACUGUCCAAAGGAGGCUAAGAGGCAAGAUUUAGCCUUUAUCUCCUGUGAAGCUUGGAUAAGUAUUUGCUUUCCUGUUCUUCCUCUCCUCUGACAGAAUUCCUGUUGUAUCUCACUGUCAGCUUUUUACUGUGACCCUGUGACCUGUGUACACACAUAUGUGCCCCUUGGUUUUACUACAGUCUUAACCCUGAAUAUUUUUUUAAUUUUCUGGAAAAAAAUGAAUUGUUUUCUAAAUAAAAGUGUGCUCCUCCUUUG
rnacentral:lncRNA from 1 species